rnacentral:misc_RNA from 1 species
UCGAGUUUGGUGCCACUCGGCACCCGCUCCCAUCCUUUGUGAACCUGUCAGAUGUUGCUUUGGUGGACCGGCACUGUCCCCCGGCGUCAUGUUGGGGCGUGUCCGCCAGAGGCCCUCAAAACCUGUUCCAACGUCGAAAAUCUGAGCAAACUUUAAAAUAUUUA